GCUCGUAGUCGGAUUUCGGGGCGGGCCGACCGGUCUGCCGAUGGGUAUGCACUGGCCGGCGCGUCCUUCCACCCGGAGACCGCGCCUACUCUUAACUGAGCGGGCGCGGGAGACGGGUCUUUUACUUUGAAAAAAUCAGAGUGUUUCAAGCAGGCAGUCGCUCUUGCAUGGAUUAGCAUGGGAUAAUGAAAUAGGACUCUGGUGCUAUUUUGUUGGUUUCGAACACCGGAGUAAUGAUUAACAGGGACAGUCAGGGGCACUCGUAUUCCGCCGAGAGAGGUGAAAUUCUCAGACCAGCGGAAGACGAACCACUGCGAAAGCAUUUGCCAGGGAUGUUUUCACUGAUCAAGAACGAAAGUUAGGGGAUCGAAGACGAUCAGAUACCGUCGUAGUCUUAACCAUAAACCAUGCCGACUAGGGUUGGAGGAUGUUCCAUUUGUGACUCCUUCAGCACCUUUCGGGAAACUAAAGUCUUUGGGUUCCGGGGGGAGUAUGGUCGCAAGGCUGAAACUUAAAGGAAUUGACGGAAGGGCACCACCAGGAGUGGAGCCUGCGGCUUAAUUUGACUCAACACGGGGAAACUUACCAGGUCCAGACAUUGUGAGGAUUGACAGAUUGAGAGCUCUUUCUUGAUUCGAUGGGGUGGUGGUGCAUGGCCGU
rnacentral:rRNA from 1 species